AUCCAGCUGAAGAGUCCCGAAUAGGACGAAACGCGCGUCAAACUGGAU
rnacentral:hammerhead_ribozyme from 1 species